UACGUAGGGGGCAAGCGUUGUCCGGAAUCAUUGGGCGUAAAGAGCGUGUAGGCGGCCCGGUAAGUCCGCUGUGAAAGUCCAGGGCUCAACCCUGGGAUGCCGGUGGAUACUGUCGGGCUCGAGUCCGGAAGAGGAGUGUGGAAUUCCUGGUGUAGCGGUGAAAUGCGCAGAUAUCGUGAGGAAGACCAGUGGCGAAGGCGGAUCUCUGGACAGUUCCUGACGCUGAGGCGCGAAGGCCAGGGGAGCAAACGGG
rnacentral:rRNA from 1 species